rnacentral:rRNA from 1 species
UACAGAGGUGGCAAGCGUUGUUCGGAAUUACUGGGCGUAAAGGGCGCGUAGGCGGCCUACUAAGUCAGACGUGAAAUCCCCCGGCUUAACCUGGGAACUGCGUCUGAUACUGGAAGGCUUGAGUAUGGGAGAGGGAUGUAGAAUUCCAGGUGUAGCGGUGAAAUGCGUAGAUAUCUGGAGGAACACCGGUGGCGAAGGCGGCAUCCUGGACCAACACUGACGCUGAGGAGCGAAAGCCAGGGGAGCAAACGGG